rnacentral:rRNA from 1 species
GACAGAGGGUGCGAACGUUGUUCGGAAUUACUGGGCGUAAAGCGCGUGUAGGUGGCAUCGCAAGUCGGAUGUGAAAGCCCGGGGCUCAACCCCGGAAGUGCAUUCGAUACUGCGAAGCUAGAGUCUCGGAGAGGAUGGUGGAACUCUCGGUGUAGAGGUGAAAUUCGUAGAUAUCGAGAAGAACACCGGCGGCGAAGGCGGCCAUCUGGACGAUGACUGACACUGAGACGCGAAAGCGUGGGGAGCAAACAGG